rnacentral:rRNA from 1 species
GACGAACGCUGGCGGCGUGCCUAAUACAUGCAAGUCGAACGCUGAAGGAAGGAGCUUGCUCUUUCUGGAUGAGUUGCGAACGGGUGAGUAACGCGUAGGUAACCUGCCUGGUAGCGGGGGAUAACUAUUGGAAACGAUAGCUAAUACCGCAUAAAAUUGAUUAUUGCAUGAUAGUCAAUUAAAAGGUGCAACUGCACCACUACCAGAUGGACCUGCGUUGUAUUAGCUAGUUGGUGGGGUAACGGCUCACCAAGGCGACGAUACAUAGCCGACCUGAGAGGGUGAUCGGCCACACUGGGACUGAGACACGGCCCAGACUCCUACGGGAGGCAGCAGUAGGGAAUCUUCGGCAAUGGACGGAAGUCUGACCGAGCAACGCCGCGUGAGUGAAGAAGGUUUUCGGAUCGUAAAGCUCUGUUGUAAGAGAAGAACGAGUGUGAGAGUGGAAAGUUCACACUGUGACGGUAUCUUACCAGAAAGGGACGGCUAACUACGUG